rnacentral:rRNA from 1 species
UAGGGAAUCUUCCGCAAUGGGCGAAAGCCUGACGGAGCAACGCCGCGUGAGUGAAGAAGGAUUUCGGUUCGUAAAGCUCUGUUGUUAGGGAAGAAUGAUUGUGUAGUAACUAUACACAGUAGAGACGGUACCUAACCAGAAAGCCACGGCUAAACUACGUGCCAGCAGCCGCGGUAAUACGUAGGUGGCAAGCGUUGUCCGGAAUUAUUGGGCGUAAAGCGCGCGCAGGUGGUUUAAUAAGUCUGAUGUGAAAGCCCACGGCUCAACCGUGGAGGGUCAUUGGAAACUGUUAAACUUGAGUGCAGGAGAGAAAAGUGGAAUUCCUAGUGUAGCGGUGAAAUGCGUAGAGAUUAGGAGGAACACCAGUGGCGAAGGCGGCUUUUUGGCCUGUAACUGACACUGAGGCGCGAAAGCGUGGGGAGCAAACAGGAUUAGAUACCCUGGUAGUCCACGCCGUAAACGAUGAGUGCUAAGUGUUGGUCUCAUAAGAGAUCAGUGCUGCAGCUAACGCAUUAAGCACUCCGCCUGGGGAGUACGACCGCAAGGUUG